rnacentral:tmRNA from 1 species
GGGGUAGUAAAGGUUUCGACAGGGGUAAUGCAGCUGGAGAAGCUAUCCGCACGCAAUGCGUUAAAUGGCAAAUCUAAAUAUAAACGCUAACGACAGAGUAGCAUUAGCAGCCUAAGCGCUGCUUGUCCGCCCGGGUUCACCUACAAAUCCGGAUACGGGCAUCAUGAAUUGUAGGAAACGGCAUAUGUUAAGCUUUGCGCAUAUGUACGUAUUAUGAAGCUACCGAGGCACGGAGGAUGUUGUUCUCCGCCGGGUUGAGGGAAUAAUAAACGAACAACUACGAUAGUAGAAGGACAGGGAAUUUAUCUUUGGACACGGGUUCGACUCCCGUCUACUCCAC